rnacentral:rRNA from 1 species
UGGGAUUCCUUUAGUAAUUGCGAAUGAACAAGGAUGUGCUCAGCUUGACAAAUGGAGUUUUUGAGCUUUGAAUUGUAAUUUUGCAAUGCAUCACCAGCGGAGGUACAGUUGCAAGCCUUUUGAAAGACAGCGCCAUUGAGGGUGAAAUUCCUUUUUGUCUUCUGCAACCUUUGUGCACGGUAUGUAUUUGGUGAAUCACAUUCCUCGGCAUUGGAAUGCAAAUUGGGUGGUAAAUUUCACGCAAGGGAAAAUAUAUUAUUGAGUCUGAUAAUGAACAAGUACCAUGAGGGAAAUAUGCAAAGGACUUUGAAAAGAAAAUUAAAAGAGCUUGCAUUUGCUAAACAGAAAACUAGCAGAAGUGCUUUAUCUUGGUAAGAUUGCUGCGCAUGGGUUUACUGUGUAAAUUGUAUGAGCAUUGGUUCUUACUUUGUGUGUCAAUUCCAUUGUCAAUUUUAAUAUCUUUGCUCAUGAAUUGUGAAAUGCUUGCGGGUGUUAGAUUGCAUGUGCAUUCAUUAAUUUGGACUUGGUGCAGUGCUUGGCAACAGCUUGCAUGUAGAGUGUGCGUGCAAUGUACAAUUGCGAUUGUCAGCUGUUGCCAACCACUUUUGUUGGCAAUGUGAUUCUGCUUGACCCGUCUUGAAACACGGACCAAGGAGUCUAACAGAUGUGCAAGUUCCUGGGGUGUGCACACCCUGUAGCUUAAUGAAUGUGUUUGCUGGGAUAUGUGCACCAGCAGCUGACUGAUUAACAGACAGAGGUUUGAGUUUGAGCAUAUCUAUUAGGACCCGAAAGAUGGUGAACUAUGCCUGCACAGAACGAAUCCAGAGGAAACUCUGGUGGAGGUUCGUAUUGAUACUGACGUGCAAAUCGUUCGUCAUACUUGGGUAUAGGGGCGAAAGACUAAUCGAACCAUCUAGUAGCUGGUUCCUUCCGAAGUUUCCCUCAGGAUAACUGGAAUUGCACAGUUUUAUCAGGUAAAGCGAAUGAUUGGAGGAAUUGGGGACAUGCUGUCCUUGACCUAUUCUCAAACUUUAAAUGGGUAAGCUGCAAUUGUUGCUUUGGUGAACUUUUUUCAUUCAAUGGCAACAUCAAGUGGGCCAUUUUUGGUAAGCAGAACUGGCGAUGAGGGAUGAACCUAACGUUGGGUUAAGGUGCUUAACUUCUUGCUCAUGAGAUACCAGAAAGGGUGUUGGUUCAUUUUGACAGCAGGACGGUGGUCAUGGAAGUUGAAAUCCGCUAAGGAGUGUGUAACAACUCACCUGCCGAAUGGACUAGCCCCGAAAAUGGAUGGCGCUCAAGAGGGUGACUGAUACCCAACCACUGUUUCAAGAUUGAACAGUGUGUAGGAGGGCUUAGCCAUUUGUGUGGCAGCC